GCAAGUCGAGGGGUAACAUUGAUGCCUGCAUUAGAUGACGACCGGCGCACGGGUGCGUAAAGCGUAUAGAACCUACCGUUUACAGGGGAAUAGCCUUUAGAAAUGAAGAUUAAUGCCCCAUAGUAUUGAGAAAUCGCAUGAUUUUUUAAUUAAAGAUUUAUCGGCAAAAGAUGGCUAUGCGUCCUAUUAGUUAGUGUGGUAAGGUAACGGCUUACCAAGACAUCGAUAGGUAGGGGUCCUGAGAGGGAGAUC
rnacentral:rRNA from 1 species